rnacentral:tRNA from 1 species
GGGAUUGUGGCUCAAUGGUAGAGUGCUCGCCUAGCAGGUGUGAGGCACUGGGUUCAAUUCUUAGCACCA